GAGUUUGAUCCUGGCUCAGGACGAACGCUGGCGGCGUGCCUAAUACAUGCAAGUCGAACGAACUCUGGUAUUGAUUGGUGCUUGCAUCAUGAUUUACAUUUGAGUGAGUGGCGAACUGGUGAGUAACACGUGGGAAACCUGCCCAGAAGCGGGGGAUAACACCUGGAAACAGAUGCUAAUACCGCAUAACAACUUGGACCGCAUGGUCCGAGUUUGAAAGAUGGCUUCGGCUAUCACUUUUGGAUGGUCCCGCGGCGUAUUAGCUAGAUGGUGGGGUAACGGCUCACCAUGGCAAUGAUACGUAGCCGACCUGAGAGGGUAAUCGGCCACAUUGGGACUGAGACACGGCCCAAACUCCUACGGGAGGCAGCAGUAGGGAAUCUUCCACAAUGGACGAAAGUCUGAUGGAGCAACGCCGCGUGAGUGAAGAAGGGUUUCGGCUCGUAAAACUCUGUUGUUAAAGAAGAACAUAUCUGAGAGUAACUGUUCAGGUAUUGACGGUAUUUAACCAGAAAGCCACGGCUAACUACGUGCCAGCAGCCGCGGUAAUACGUAGGUGGCAAGCGUUGUCCGGAUUUAUUGGGCGUAAAGCGAGCGCAGGCGGUUUUUUAAGUCUGAUGUGAAAGCCUUCGGCUCAACCGAAGAAGUGCAUCGGAAACUGGGAAACUUGAGUGCAGAAGAGGACAGUGGAACUCCAUGUGUAGCGGUGAAAUGCGUAGAUAUAUGGAAGAACACCAGUGGCGAAGGCGGCUGUCUGGUCUGUAACUGACGCUGAGGCUCGAAAGUAUGGGUAGCAAACAGGAUUAGAUACCCUGGUAGUCCAUACCGUAAACGAUGAAUGCUAAGUGUUGGAGGGUUUCCGCCCUUCAGUGCUGCAGCUAACGCAUUAAGCAUUCCGCCUGGGGAGUACGGCCGCAAGGCUGAAACUCAAAGGAAUUGACGGGGGCCCGCACAAGCGGUGGAGCAUGUGGUUUAAUUCGAAGCUACGCGAAGAACCUUACCAGGUCUUGACAUACUAUGCAAAUCUAAGAGAUUAGACGUUCCCUUCGGGGACAUGGAUACAGGUGGUGCAUGGUUGUCGUCAGCUCGUGUCGUGAGAUGUUGGGUUAAGUCCCGCAACGAGCGCAACCCUUAUUAUCAGUUGCCAGCAUUAAGUUGGGCACUCUGGUGAGACUGCCGGUGACAAACCGGAGGAAGGUGGGGAUGACGUCAAAUCAUCAUGCCCCUUAUGACCUGGGCUACACACGUGCUACAAUGGAUGGUACAACGAGUUGCGAACUCGCGAGAGUAAGCUAAUCUCUUAAAGCCAUUCUCAGUUCGGAUUGUAGGCUGCAACUCGCCUACAUGAAGUCGGAAUCGCUAGUAAUCGCGGAUCAGCAUGCCGCGGUGAAUACGUUCCCGGGCCUUGUACACACCGCCCGUCACACCAUGAGAGUUUGUAACACCCAAAGUCGGUGGGGUAACCUUUUAGGAACCAGCCGCCUAAGGUGGGACAGAUGAUUAGGGUGAAGUCGUAACAAGGUAGCCGU
rnacentral:rRNA from 2 species